UUUAUUGUAUGUAUAUGUUCACGAAAAGGACAAUAUAUUCAUAAAAAACAUUUUGCAUCUGCAGUUUUCUAGAUCACAUAACUAUACAUCUAGUCUCUAGAAAAACACAUUUACACAUCUUCUCUUCUCUGUACAUGCAUGGCUUGUAUCUUGCUGCUCAGUAUAUGGCCUGCAUCCUUCAUGCUACAAAAUAAGAUAACAUGUGUCAUAAUUUUGUUGUUGGGUGGAGAUAAAUAUGUUGCCUAUUUGAGAAGACAAUUGUUCCCGGAGCCUCUAUUGGUGAUGAGCAGGUUGCUGUUGGUAAAUGUUAUAGUGGAUUGCAUUUUUUGGGGCAAUUUAAGUGUCAUUCCUUCCUUACGCAACAAAUGUCUUCCUAGAUAGGCAAUUUAUAUAUUCUGAAAAGUCAAGUAUAGUGCCUAUGUUCAUUUGUAAGCCCCAGCCCCCAUCCCCAUCCCCAAUUUGUUUGCAAAAAAAAAAAGAGAUCCGAUUAAAGACGCAAGUGCCUAAAUGAUAUGGAUCCAAAAUCCAACCCAAUCAACUCUCACCACAUAUGUACUUAUUUACAUUUACAUAUAUUGCAUACCUGCUUUGUGUUUUGUACUUAAUGUCCCCCUGCUGUCCCCCUGCUAGAUAACUUGAAACCUGCAAUGUAAGAACAGAAAAAAUAAAAAAAAGAGAUUAGAGAAGAAUGAUAUAAAAAUUGUCUAAUGAUUUGCAUUAUUUUGUCUUGAUCUUACCACAAUAUUGCCUUGUCACAGUACAUUUAGUUGCCUAUUUCUAAUGAAGUUUAGUAACUAACCAAUGCAUAUGUGACAUGUAGUCAUGUCAAUUAGUAGUAUCUUAACUACAAUCCAUGAUACCCCCAACCGAUCCAACUAUCAUUUGUCAUACUCCUACAUCGCAAAACAUAAAAGAACCUAGCCAAAAGACCAAAAAGCAUGAUAGGCCCAUUGCUUGUCAUUAGAUAUGGAAAAAUGCUUGUACUGUUGGUUGGAGAACUUGUAGUAAACUUUCCCCAUGUAGAAAUUACAGCCUGUGAGCAUUUCAAUUAUAUAAUUUCAGCCUAUGUAGAAAUUACAUGCAUAUGGGCUAAUCUAUUGGUUUGAACUGAGCAAUUACACUAAUUAUGAGUAUAAAGCUGUGGUGUCAAAAAAAGUAUAGUAAUCUUAAUGGAUAAUAGCGAGAAACUCACUUUCUUAAAAUGCCUUGUAGCUGGCAACAAAUCAACUCCCCAACCCUCCCCCCACUUCCAUACCCACAACAUACAUCCGUAAUAUAGAAAAUUGAUACAUUUAAAACAACAAAGUAGGUUCUAGUUGAAAAACUCACCUCAAAUUUGCAGUCAACAAUAGGGCCGCACUCGUGCCACGGACAAGGGCACCACUGCAAGUUACACAAUAUGGGGCUAUAAGGUGGAAGUUGGUCAGGAUGAGGGUGAGGUGCAACACGGUUGUCACUGAGAAGCCUGCAAGUGAAAUUAAACAAAGCAAGUAUGCUAAUUUAGUGUGUAAAUUGGACAAUCCAGUAUUUCUAUAGAUGCUUAGAAAUCAGAAACUCACAUGAAGCAAAUAUGGUAAUGCUGCAUUGGAUUGCAUUUUCUUAGGCAAUUUGAGUGUCGUUCAUUAGGAAACAAUAUCUUUCUUAAUAGACAAUUUAUGUAUUCUGGAAAAGCAAGUAUAGUGUCUAUGUUCAUUUGCAUCCCAGAGUUCCCUAUUUAAAUAUAUGCUGGUAAGAUAAAUCAAAUGUACUGAAGGUGGAUAAAAAUAAAACUGAGAAAUCAAGUAGAUACGAGAGCAUGGUCUAUCUUGGUUGUACAGAGGGCAUGGCCUUGUGGCAUGGAAAUAAGAGCAAGGCAAGAAAGUAUUACAAUAGCGUACCUCUCAGUGAUCGAUUACUGUAAAUUGCUGAUACUGCUAGUAGCAAAAAGAUUAAUGUAGUUGAGCCACUGAACUAAAAAUUAAAUCGAUUUGGAGCUGAUGAAAUAUGAAAAGAUGAAAGAGUGAGGACACAAGGCGAUGAUUUCUAUUGGAGAAGGAUAAUUAUAUGAUUUCUAUCUCCACACACAUAGGAGGAAGCCAUACUUUUCCAAAAAAUAAGUAAAAAGAAAAGAAGGAUCAGAUUGAGAAGGCUAUCAUUUAAAUCAGGUUUGCAUGUGCUAUUUGCCUGAGAAUUCAGGAUACACAAUUUAAUAUCUUGUUGCUACAUUUGUC
rnacentral:lncRNA from 1 species